AGAACGAACGCUGGCGGCGUGGAUUAGGCAUGCAAGUCGCGCGAGAAAGGGGGGCAACCCCUGAGUACAGCGGCGAACUGGUGAGUAACAGGUGGGCAACGUGCCCUCGAGUCGGGGAUAACUUCCAGAAAUGGAGGCUAAUACCGGAUGUGAUCUCGGUUUCGCAUGGGACUGAGGUUAAAGCAGCAGUGCGCUCGAGGAUCGGCCCGCCCCCGAUUAGCUAGUUGGUGGGGUAACGGCCUACCAAGGCUGCGAUCGGUAGCUGGUCUGAGAGGAUGGUCAGCCACACCGGGACUGAGAUACGGCCCGGACUCCUACGGGAGGCAGCAGUCUAGAGGCUUCCGCAAUGGACGAAAGUCUGACGGAGCGACGCCGCGUGUGGGAUGAAGGUCUUGCGAUUGUAAACCACUGUCAACGGGGAAGAAGGCCCGAAUGGCGAAUUCGGGAGAGACGGUACCCGUGGAGGAAGCCCCGGCUAACUACGUGCCAGCAGCCGCGGUAAUACGUAGGGGGCGAGCGUUGUUCGGAUUCACUGGGCGUAAAGGGUGCGUAGGCGGUUUGGCAAGUCCUGCGUGAAACCUGCUUGCUUAACAAGCAGCUGUCGCCGGAAACUGCCAGGCUAGAGGACGAGAGAGGAGAGCGGAAUUCCAGGUGUAGCGGUGGAAUGCGCAGAUAUCUGGAAGAACACCGGUGGCGAAGGCGGCUCUCUGGAUCGUUUCUGACGCUGAGGCACGAAAGCCAGGGGAGCGAACGGGAUUAGAUACCCCGGUAGUCCUGGCUGUAAACGGUGAGCGCUAGGUGUGGGGGGUAUCGACCCCCCCUGUGCCGCAGCUAACGCAAUAAGCGCUCCGCCUGGGGAGUACGGCCGCAAGGUUGAAACUCAAAGGAAUUGACGGGGGCCCGCACAAGCGGUGGAGCAUGUGGCUUAAUUCGAUACGCGAGGAACCUUACCUGGGCUUAAACUACUGGGCAAACCUCCGGAGACGGGGGCUCCGCAAGGAAUCCAGCAGAGGUGCUGCAUGGCUGUCGUCAGCUCGUGUCGUGAGAUGUUGGGUUAAGUCCCGCAACGAGCGCAACCCUUGUCGCUAGUUACCAGCGAGUCAAGUCGGGGACUCUAGCGAGACUGCCGGCACAAGCCGGAGGAAGGUGGGGAUGACGUCAAGUCCGCAUGGCCCUUACGUCCAGGGCUGCACACGUGCUACAAUGGUCGGUACAAAGGGUUGCCAAGCCGCGAGGCCUAGCCAAUCCCAAAAAGCCGGCCCCAGUUCGGAUCGGAGUCUGCAAUUCGACUCCGUGAAGCCGGAAUCGCUAGUAAUCGCGCAUCAGCACGGCGCGGUGAAUACGUUCUCGGGCCUUGUACACACCGCCCGUCACACCACGAAAGCUGGCUGAUCCAGAAGUUCGUGAGCCAACCCGCAAGGGAGGCAGCGACCUAAGGAUUGGUCGGUGAUUGGGGUGAAGUCGUAACAAGGUA
rnacentral:rRNA from 1 species